UCUGAAAUGCAUUCGCGCCAACGUAUCAAUUGUCCUUUAAUUAAACUCUUGUAUGAAAUAAUAAUAUGUCAAUAGAGACUCAGCAAUUGAAAAUUUAAAUUAUGCAAUAAAAGCGCAAAAUGUUUGAGACGUUGGUGCUUGUAACAAAUUUUUCGCGAUUAACGUUUUAUUAAAUUUGGAUUAUUUAAUUAAUUUUUCAUAUACGUGAAUUUUGAAAUAUUAUAAGAUUUCUCAUUUUAUAACUUCUAAAAAAAUAUUUUAAAAACAUUUACAGAUUUUGUAAGAUUUUAUCAAAAAUUAUAGAAAGAAGCGAUCUUGGAAAUCUUAAGACAUUUCAGAAUUCAUAUAUAUGUAUAAAGAAAUCUAGGAAAAAUGUAGAUGUUUCUAAAAAUAAAAAAGUUUGUGAUUAUUUCUGGAAAGUGUUCCAAUUCAAAGACUGAAAAAUUUUCUAAAAAUAAACAUAAAUUCUGAAAAAUUAAUUUAUUGAUAACAUUUUCUUCAAUAUUUAAAUUUUACCAUUCUCUCACAUUCAGCAAACACAUUGUUCGACACGGCGAAAAAAAAAUUAAAUAGAAUUUUUUUUUUUCAUGUCGAACAAUGUAUUUAUUAAAUGUGAAAGUUACAGUUUACUUAACGACGCUUCGAUCAUUAACAGGAGACAAAAUUUGCAAAGCUUUUAAUCUUUAAACACGCGUAACGAUCGAUAGGUAAUUAGGCCUUUCGAGGUCAAUGUAAAAUUAAUUCAAUUAUCCUCGUUAUUGCAGGUUUAAUUUGGAUUCAAGAUUAAUUUAAUCCGAGAUACGUGAAAACUCAGAGAGAGACAAGAGGAAGAAAGGAAAACAGCUGCCCUUUAAAUAUAAAUUAUAUGAGUCGUCUUCAUAAAUUAUUCCAUGGUUUCUCGCUACCAUAAAAAAAUCAGUAUUGGAGGGAAGAGAGGGCGGUCGAUACCUAUCUUCUGGCAAAUUAACAAGUCACACGCUCCAGAUAAACAAAACCGCUCGCACCCGUCGACGUGGUGUAGUUAUAUUACGAUUUCCGCAAUGCGGGAAACGUGAAUGCAUCGAGGAUGUGCUCACUCGCGGCGGCGGCGGCGGCGGCGGUGACACGGGGCGAAUUCCCAGGGGAAUUCGAAAUGUCGCAAUAUAAUUCAGUUCAUCAAACCAGGAAUCAAUAUUGGAUGCGCCGGCGCCUCGCUGAAAACGUUUGAGGACGAAAAUAUGUUGUAGACACUGUCGCAAAACCGUGGACGCGAGAGAAUCAGUGGUGCACGAUUGCAAAAAUAAGAAACUUUGAAUAAAAUAAGCUGAAUUUUUGUGAACAACAAAUUUCAAUGAGAAAACUUACAUCAAAUUGAAUACUAUAGUAGCACUUAAAACACACGUUACAAUGAAAUUAUUAUGAAUUAUUAAUUGUGCUCUUGGUUUCACUCGUGCAGCAUUCUGUGCAAGACGUGAAUAACAAUAACAACGUAUAAUCCUACGUGUAAAUUAUUACAAAUUUACUAAGCAUAAAAUUAUCUUGAAAUAUGGAUCUGUGUAAUAAUUUAGAAAGUGCAAACUUUAUUUUUAAAAUGUUAAUCUUACUCGACGAUUACGAGAAUACAGUGCUUCAUCGAUUAGAUGCAGUUUUCAAACUGAAUGUAUGCAAAGAAGUAAAAGUAUAUUGAAUUCUAAUACAUAAAAAGUAAAAAAAUAAUAAUUAUUUAUACUACAAUACAAAAUAAAAAUUGUUGUAUUUAAAAAAAUAUUGUUAUUCGAUUAGUACUUUUAUAAAUUAAUUGGAAUACUUUCAUACAGUCAGUUUACAUUUAUCUUUUCAAAAACUUAAGAGAAAAUUACUCUAGAUCUAAUAAAUCGAAAUUUGAUAGUUUUUCAUGGGAAAUAUAAAAAUGUAAAUAAGUUGACUUGCGAGGUGACAUAUAGUUCUACGUGAAGAUUUACUUAUAAUCAAAAAAUCCACAGAUGAGGUUUGAUCUCACUUACUUUAGAUGUACCUCGAAUUUAUAAAAAGUUGAUGAUGGAAUCAAAGGUUACGAAUAAAGGAGUAUGCAA